ensembl:lncRNA
UUUGUUCCUGCAUGUAUGUUUAAUUAGUUUUUCUGGCAUAGUUUGCUAAAUUACUUUAAUGAGAUGAUCAUAUUUUUUUGUCUCUUCCAUAGGCUACACAAACCACAGAAGCCAAAUUGUCACCAAUAGUCUUACUCAUGAAGAUCAAACCUCCAGAAAUCCCUGCAGAUAUAGUUUAAAAUAAGUUUAUGUCUUUCUUUUACUGUUCAUGUCUUCAAGGAACCUCUCUGAAAAGUCAAUCUGAGGUCCUGCAGAAGACAGAGGAAGGCACUAUAAUAGGCUCGGGCCAAAAUCACUUCAUUAGUAGUCGUCAAUGGGAAAACCAGCGGCACUUAGGAAAAUUUUCAUGAAGUAGGCUACCUCAGCUCCAGCUCUGUGAGACCACCACAGCAAAAAGCAGAAGGUCCAAGACUUAUAAGUGCAUUACCACCACCUAUCUCUCAAAUGGACCAUUGACACUCUAUCAGCUGAAGAAGACACUAACACGCCCAGGACAAUUCGGACAUUGCAAUGAAACAGAGCAGUGUAUCGUCACGAGCCGCAGGGUUUCAUUUGGUUUUGUUUGUGAACAAAGUCACCUACAUCUUGGAUGCCCUGGGGAAAAACACCUUUGGUGAAGAUGACUGAUAGGAAAGAGGAUGAGAGCUUUCUCUUCAUCUUCAGCUUUUCAGAAUGCUCACUGAUGGAUCUUUAUCGUUUCACAAGUCCAGCUGUAAGUGAAAAAGAGUCCAGAGCCACACUCUCAGAUUUGGAGGAGGCCUGCAAACUUUACCUUCAGGAAAGAGCUGAUUCUUGGAAAGGAACAGAAAUUUGGCUUUCCAAUGGCAGAAGCUUUUAAAGCGUGAUAUUAAAUAAAGCUACAAAGAGAUCCAGAC